ensembl:lncRNA
UUUAAUGAAUGUACACAUAUAGGAAUUAUGAAAUUCCGAUGACAGAACUCCCACCAGAUCUAAAAUCAUUUGGGAUUGAAAUGUGGUAUUUAGUUUGUUGGUCAGAAUGAUUAUAGUCAUACAAAGAAGAUGCUACAAUCAAAGUGAGUCAGAUCAUGAAGACCUGCAGCACUGAUAGAUUUGUUUAGAUAAUGACUCACCUGUAAAGCUGUGCCCAUCACUGCGUGAGGAGAGAGAGUUUGGUCCUGAGCUCACUCUGUAGUCACAGCUCACCUCCUUACUCCUCAAUGACUGAAGACGACUGAUCAGAUCACUAUAUUUUGCAAUGAAAUGACAGAACUGUUGUCCGGAUGCUGAGGUGGCUUUUCUCUUCUUGAUCUUUGCUGUGAAGGAUGGCUGACUCUCCUCUCCAACAUACAGGUUACAGGUGGUGUCAGGACUGACAGAUCCAGGAAUCAAACAGAUGAUGUUGAAGUCCUCAUCAAAUUUUAAGGUAAUGUCUGGUUUUGGAUCUGUUAGGAAAGGACAGAGACUCCUUUUUGCAUCACUCAAUUUGAAUGUAAUGUACAGUGGGGCAAAAAAGUACUUAUUUUCCACCAUAAUUUGCAAAUAAAUUCAUUAAAAAUCCUACAAUGUGAUUUUCUGGAUUUUUUUUCAUUUUGUCUGUCAUAGUUGAAGUGUACCUAUGAUGAAAAUUACAGGCCUCUCUCAUCUUUUUAAGUGGGAGAACUUGCACAAUUGGUGGCUGACUAAAUACUUUUUUUUGUAUAUGUCAUAAGUGACACUCUUACUAAACUAGAAACUGCCAUUCUCUUUAUAUUAACUAACAGCAUGUCUUAUUUGAUAUCAUCAAUAUUUAUGCGUUCCAAUUAAUCAUGGGUGCUGUGUUUACAACGAUUUCCUUUCACUUAAUUCUUGCUUGUUAAAUUAAAUUACAUCGAAUUGACUAUUUUGCUUGCAUGUAUGGUGUGGGGGAUGAUGGAGUGUGUCACUUGUCAUUUAAUUAUAAAUUAAUUUUCAAAAUUUAAGUACUCAUAGAUAUUGCAGCACCUGAUAUACGUUUAAAAAAAAUAAUAAUUCACUGUUGUCUUUUAGAUGAUAACAAUGCAUCCACAAUUAUGUAGUUUGGGUUAACAAGAUAAAUUUGAUUGAUUGAUGGUAUUAUUAUUUAGUAAAAGUAAAAACGCUCACAAGGACCUUGGGCUUCGAUGUAUUGGAAGGUGACUGGAAAUAACACAAUAGGUCAUGAUCAGGUAAAUGUGCCAUUCAAAAAUAGCAUGAUAGACAAGAACACUGUAGAAGUUGGUAAAGUAUCAUAU